GACGAACGCUGGCGGCGUGCUUAACACAUGCAAGUCGAACGGUAAGGCUCCAGCUUGCUGGGGUACACGAGUGGCGAACGGGUGAGUAACACGUGGGUGACCUGCCCUGCACUUCGGGAUAAGCCUGGGAAACUGGGUCUAAUACCGGAUAGGACCGCACCGUGAGGGUGUGGUGGAAAGUUUUUUCGGUGUGGGAUGGGCCCGCGGCCUAUCAGUUUGUUGGUGGGGUAAUGGCCUACCAAGGCGGCGACGGGUAGCCGGCCUGAGAGGGUGGACGGCCACAUUGGGACUGAGACACGGCCCAGACUCCUACGGGAGGCAGCAGUGGGGAAUAUUGCACAAUGGGCGGAAGCCUGAUGCAGCGACGCCGCGUGGGGGAUGACGGCCUUCGGGUUGUAAACUCCUUUCACCAUCGACGAAGGGUUUCUGACGGUAGAUGGAGAAGAAGCACCGGCUAACUACGUG
rnacentral:rRNA from 1 species